rnacentral:rRNA from 1 species
GAGCUGUACGUAAGCGUUGAUCCAGAGAUUUCCGAAUGGGGGAACCCACUAUCUUUAGUCGGAUAGUAUCCUUACGUGAAUACAUAGCGUAAGGAAGGCAGACCCAGGGAACUGAAACAUCUAAGUACCUGGAGGAAGAGAAAGAAAAAUCGAUUUCCUGAGUAGCGGCGAGCGAAACGGAAAGAGCCCAAACCAAGAAGCUUGCUUCUUGGGGUUGUAGGACACUCUAUACGGAGUUACAAAGGAAUGUGGUAAACGAAGUGGUCUGGAAAGGCCCGCCAAAGAAGGUAACAGCCCUGUAAUUGAAAGCAUAUUCCCUCCAGAGUGGAUCCUGAGUACGGCGGAACACGUGAAAUUCCGUCGGAAUCCGGGAGGACCAUCUCCCAAGGCUAAAUACUCCCUAGUGACCGAUAGUGAACCAGUACCGUGAGGGAAAGGUGAAAAGCACCCCGGAAGGGGAGUGAAACAGUUCCUGAAACCGUGUGCCUACAAGUAGUUAGAGCCCGUUAAUGGGUGAUAGCGUGCCUUUUGUAGAAUGAACCGGCGAGUUACGAUUUGUUGCAAGGUUAAGCGGAAAAAGCGGAGCCGUAGCGAAAGCGAGUCUGAAUAGGGCGCAUGAGUAACAGGUCGUAGACCCGAAACCAGGUGAUCUACCCAUGUCCAGGAUGAAGGUGAGGUAAUACUCACUGGAGGUCCGAACCCACGCACGUUGAAAAGUGCGGGGAUGAGGUGUGGGUAGCGGAGAAAUUCCAAUCGAACCUGGAGAUAGCUGGUUCUCUCCGAAAUAGCUUUAGGGCUAGCCUCGAGGUAAAGAGUCGUGGAGGUAGAGCACUGUUUGGACUAGGGGCCCUUCUCGGGUUACCGAAUUCAGAUAAACUCCGAAUGCCAUGUACUUAUACUCGGGAGUCAGACUGCGAGUGAUAAGAUCCGUAGUCGAAAGGGAAACAGCCCAGACCACCAGUUAAGGUCCCAAAAUAUAUGUUAAGUGGAAAAGGAUGUGGGGUUGCAUAGACAACCAGGAUGUUGGCUUAGAAGCAGCCACCAUUGAAAGAGUGCGUAAUAGCUCACUGGUCGAGUGACCCCGCGCCGAAAAUGUACCGGGGCUAAACAUAUUACCGAAACUGUGGAUGAACCUCUUAGGAGGUUCGUGGUAGGAGAGCGUUCUAAGGGCGGUGAAGUCAGACCGGAAGGACUGGUGGAGCGCUUAGAAGUGAGAAUGCCGGUAUGAGUAGCGAAAGAAGGGUGAGAAUCCCUUCCACCGAAUAUCUAAGGUUUCCUGAGGAAGGCUCGUCCGCUCAGGGUUAGUCGGGACCUAAGCUGAGGCCGAUAGGCGUAGGCGAUGGACAACAGGUAGAUAUUCCUGUACCAGUGCUAGUUGUUUGAGCAAUGGGGUGACACAGAAGGAUAGGGAAUCGCACAGAUGGAAA